rnacentral:rRNA from 1 species
CGUAGGUGGCAAGCGUUGUCCGGAUUUAUUGGGUUUAAAGGGUGCGUAGGCGGUCUAUUAAGUCAGUGCUGAAAUAUCCCGGCUUAACCGGGAGGGUGGCAUUGAUACUGAUGGACUUGAGUGCAGUCGAGGUAGGCGGGAUUGACGGUGUAGCGGUGAAAUGCUUAGAUAUCGUCAAGAACACCGAUAGUGUAGACAGCUUACUAGGCUGUAACUGACGCUGAGGCACGAAAGUGUGGGGAUCAAACAGGAUUAGAUACCCUGGUAGUCCACACUGUAAACGUUGAUGACUCGCUGUUUGCGAUAUACAGUAAGCGGCUUAGAGAAAUCGUUAAGUCAUCCACCUGGGGAGUACGCCGGCAACGGUG